rnacentral:rRNA from 1 species
CUGGNUCAGAUUGAACGCUGGCGGCAUNCUUAACACAUGCAAGUCGAACGGCAGCACGGGGGCAACCUUGGUGGCGAGUGGCGAANGGUUGAGUAAUACAUCGGAAGUGUCCUGUAGUGGGGGANNGCCCGGCGAAAGCCGGAUUAAUACCGCAUACGAUCUACGGAAGAAAGCGGGGGAUCUUCGGACCUCGCGNUAUAGGGGCGGCCGAUGGCAGAUUAGNUAGUUGGUGGGGUAAAGGCCUACCAAGGCGACGAUCUGUAGCUGGUCUGAGAGGACGACCAGCCACACUGGGACUGAGACACGGCCCAGANUCCUACGGGAGGCAGCAGUGGGGAAUUUUGGACAAUGGGGGCAACCCUGAUCCAGCAAUGCCGCGUGUGUGAAGAAGGCCUUCGGGUUGUAAAGCACUUUUGUCCGGAAAGAAAACUUCGGGGUUAAUACCUCUGGAGGAUGACGGUACCGGAAGAAUAAGCACCGGCUAACUACGUGCCAGCAGCCGCGGUAAUACGUAGGGUGCGAGCGUUAAUCGGAAUUACUGGGCGUAAAGCGUGCGCAGGCGGUCUGUUAAGACAGAUGUGAAAUCCCCGGGCUUAACCUGGGAACUGCAUUUGUGACUGGCAGGCUAGAGUAUGGCAGAGGGGGGUAGAAUUCCACGUGUAGCAGUGAAAUGCGUAGAGAUGUGGAGGAAUACCGAUGGCGAAGGCAGCCCCCUGGGCCAAUACUGACNCUAAUGCNGGNAAGCGUGGGA